GAACGCUAGCUACAGGCUUAACACAUGCAAGUCGAGGGGCAUCAGGAAGAAAGCUUGCUUUCUUUGCUGGCGACCGGCGCACGGGUGAGUAACACGUAUCCAACCUGCCCUUUACUCGGGGAUAGCCUUUCGAAAGAAAGAUUAAUACCCGAUGGCAUAAUGAUUCCGCAUGGUUUCAUUAUUAAAGGAUUCCGGUAAAGGAUGGGGAUGCGUUCCAUUAGGUUGUUGGUGAGGUAACGACCCACCAAGCCUUCGAUGGAUAGGGGUUCUGAGAGGAAGGUCCCCCACAUUGGAACUGAGACACGGUCCAAACUCCUACGAGAGGCAGCAGUGAGGAAUAUUGGUCAAUGGGCGGUAGCCUGAACCAGCCAAAUAGCGUGAAGGAUGAAGGCUCUAUGGGUCGUAAACUUCUUUUAUAUAAGAAUAAAGUGCAGUAUGUAUACUGUUUUGUAUGUAUUAUAUGAAUAAGGAUCGGCUAACUCCGUGCCAGCAGCCGCGGUAAUACGGAGGAUCCGAGCGUUAUCCGGAUUUAUUGGGUUUAAAGGGAGCGUAGGUGGACUGGUAAGUCAGUUAUGAAAGUUUGCGGCUCAACCGUAAAAUUGCAGUUGAUACUGUCAGUCUUGAGUACAGUAGAGGUGGGCGGAAUUCGUGGUGUAGCGGUGAAAUGCUUAGAUAUCACGAAGAACUCCGAUUGCGAAGGCAGCUCACUGGACUGCAACUGACACUGAUGCUCGAAAGUGUGGGUAUCAAACAGGAUUAGAUACCCUGGUAGUCCACACAGUAAACGAUGAAUACUCGCUGUUUGCGAUAUACAGUAAGCGGCCAAGCGAAAGCAUUAAGUAUUCCACCUGGGGAGUACGCCGGCAACGGUGAAACUCAAAGGAAUUGACGGGGGCCCGCACAAGCGGAGGAACAUGUGGUUUAAUUCGAUGAUACGCGAGGAACCUUACCCGGGCUUAAAUUGCAGUGGAAUGAUGUGGAAACAUGUCAGUGAGCAAUCACCGCUGUGAAGGUGCUGCAUGGUUGUCGUCAGCUCGUGCCGUGAGGUGUCGGCUUAAGUGCCAUAACGAGCGCAACCCUUAUCUUCAGUUACUAACAGGUCAUGCUGAGGACUCUGGAGAGACUGCCGUCGUAAGAUGUGAGGAAGGUGGGGAUGACGUCAAAUCAGCACGGCCCAUACGUCCGGGGCUACACACGUGUUACAAUGGGGGGUACAGAAGGCAGCUAGCGGGUGACCGUAUGCUAAUCCCAAAAGCCUCUCUCAGUUCGGAUCGAAGUCUGCAACCCGACUUCGUGAAGCUGGAUUCGCUAGUAAUCGCGCAUCAGCCACGGCGCGGUGAAUACGUUCCCGGGCCUUGUACACACCGCCCGUCAAGCCAUGGGAGCCGGGGGUACCUGAAGUACGUAACCGCAAGGAUCGUCCUAGGGUAAAACUGGUGACUGGGGC
rnacentral:rRNA from 1 species